AAAGCUAAAAUUAAGGUGGACCUAUUGCUCAGGUGAAGUAUCUUUUCUUAUUAAUUUAAUACCUGAUACAUCCCCUAUUUGAGGACCAUGUAUUGAAUGGAUUUUUGAAACGAGGAGAUCGAAGGGGAACUUGCUCUGCCCACUCCACGCAACAACCUGAUAUUGCAGUACCUACAGGACCGGUGCACCAAAA